rnacentral:rRNA from 1 species
GUUAAUCUGCCCUUCAGAGGGGGUAACUACUGGAAACGGUAGCUAAUACCCCAUACUCCUUUUACUGUAAAAGUAAUUGGGAAAUGUCUUUUCGCUGAAGGUGAGACUAUAUGGUAUCAGGUAGUUGGUAGGGUAAGAGCCUACCAAGCCUAUGACGCCUAGCUGGUCUGAGAGGUGAUCAGCCACACUGGAACUGAGACACGGUCCAGACUCCUACGGGAGGCAGCAGUGGGGAAUAUUGCACAAUGGGGGAAACCCUGAUGCAGCAACGCCGCGUGGAGGAUGACACAUUUCGGUGCGUAAACUCCUUUUAUAUGGGAAGAUAAUGACGGUACCAUAUGAAUAAGCACCGGCUAACUCCGUGCCAGCAGCCGCGGUAAUACGGAGGGUGCAAGCGUUACUCGGAAUCACUGGGCGUAAAGCGCGCGCAGGCGGCUAUUUAAGUUGGAU